CCGCCCUUUAACACUGUGUCCGGUUAAACUAUUGCUUCUCUCAUAAAUUUAACAACACGCUCUCACUGAAAACGACGGCGUCCCAGACUCAUAUUUUGAGCAUGAUCCAUCUGAUUCUACUGUCCAUUAACUCAAGCGGUGGUUAAAAUGUAGAGGCUUAUAGCGAAGUGGUAAACGCCAAGACCAAGUUCUUCUUCAACGAGUUAGUGAUUGCAUUUAAUAGUUGUUCGGGAAAGCAUCGUUCGCCGGAUGUAUUGAAGGGGAAAAUGGUUAGCUGCGAAAGUUCUUGGAGAAAAACCAGCACAGUCCGCAGUCAAAAACAAUCAACGCAUUGCUACUGCAGACAUUCCCGUCCCGUCCGACUUUUCAAUUCCCUGGGACGGUUUUGGAAAAGGUAUAUGAACACCUUAUUAAAGCUCUCAUUUCUUGAAGCGAUUUCGGCAGUUUUUUUGAGUAUCUCGAAUCAAUUGGACAUGUUCCCCAGCAACAGUGCUUAGCAUUAACCAUGUUUGUAAUUUGGGAUAAAUUUGAAUUCGUUUUAGCACAGAUAAAAUAAAUAAAAACGUCAAUUUAGACCAACUUAUCUUCAUUUGGAGAAUCUAUUUUUAGCUACUGUGGACAGCGCUAUUGAGUUCAAAUUUACAAAAAUAAUUUUGGUCGUAAGAAUUAUUGAGCUACCCAAGCCAUUACAUAAUGGGUCUGUUUCAGGAAUUUACAUUUUGCUGAUUCAAACUAUUUCCUGACCUAUCGACUGAUGACCUAUGAUAUGUUUCCUUUACAAAUAACAAAAGUAUAGCGGAAACUCCACAAGAACAAAUCCCAGCAGUUAUUCCCUCAGCUACCGGGUAAGUGAUCUCUACACCAAGUUCAAAGAAUAAUGGAAUAGUGCCAUUUAGAAAGAAACCACUCAGUCCAAACAGGAUGUAGACAACGAUCUUGUUAAAUGAGAUAACUCCAGUGAAAACAUAGCAGAUUGAUAAAGUCGUGUAAAAUGACAGCGCCAUAAACACAAUGAGAAAUAAUUUGUGGUGGCCCGAAAAACGAUCUGCAAACCUAAAGGAAAGAAAUUGAUAACA